GUGCUGGCUUCAGCAGCACAUAUACUAAAAUUGGAACGAUACUGAGAUUAGUAUGGUCCCUGCACAAGGAUGACAUGCAAAUCUGUGAAGUGUUCCAUAUUGUU